CGGUGCGCCCGGGGGCCUGACCCCGACCCCCGCAUAUACCAGCAACGCCCGGGGGCCUGACCCCGACCCCCGCAUAUACCAGCAACGGUGCGCCCGGGGGCCUCCUCAUCCCUCCCCCAUCCCUUCCCCUCCCACUUGUCCCCUCUCCCCUCCCACCUGUCCCCUCAUUCCCUCCCCCAUCCCCUCCCCUCUCCGGGUCAGUCUGGGUGUCUAAGGCCCCAUCCUGACAGGGGAACUGUGAGCCUCGCCUUGGCCAGAGGGAGACCCUUCAGGUGGAAGGAACAGCCUGGGAAGUCCCGGGGGGCUUGGCGAGCAGGGGGCAGGGAGCCAGUGAUGGGCCCUCCUCCCUUCUCAUCAUGGAAAGAAGACUUUUUUUUUUUUUUUUUUUUUUUUAGGAGACACAGUCUCCCUCUGUUGCCCAGGCUGGAGUGCAAUGGUGUGAUCUCGGCUCACUGCAACCUCCACCUCUUGGGUUCAAGCAAUUCUUUCACCUC
rnacentral:lncRNA from 10 species